GGCGCAAGCCUGAUGCAGCCAUGCCGCGUGUAUGAAGAAGGCCUUCGGGUUGUAAAGUACUUUCAGCAGUGAGGAAGGCGGGUACGUUAAUAGCGUGCUCGUUUGACGUUAGCUGCAGAAGAAGCACCGGCUAACUCCGUGCCAGCAGCCGCGGUAAUACGGAGGGUGCGAGCGUUAAUCGGAAUUACUGGGCGUAAAGCGCAUGCAGGUGGUUUGUUAAGUCAGAUGUGAAAGCCCGGGGCUCAACCUCGGAAUUGCAUUUGAAACUGGCAGACUAGAGUACUGUAGAGGGGGGUAGAAUUUCAGGUGUAGCGGUGAAAUGCGUAGAGAUCUGAAGGAAUACCGGUGGCGAAGGCGGCCCCCUGGACAGAUACUGACACUCAGAUGCGAAAGCGUGGGGAGCAAACAGGAUUAGAUACCCUGGUAGUCCACGCCGUAAACGAUGUCUACUUGGAGGUUGUGGCCUUGAGCCGUGGCUUUCGGAGCUAACGCGUUAAGUAGACCGCCUGGG
rnacentral:rRNA from 1 species